rnacentral:misc_RNA from 1 species
UGAGACUCUCCAAACAGGAGAUUUGAAGUCUUUUAGAACCUUGCCCUCCCACUGAUCUCCCUCCUUUCCCACGGUCCAUAUGACAACCGUACCAUCCUCUGAAGCACUAGCAAUUGUUGACUUUGGAAGUCCCAAGUUUGGUGCCCAAGCUACAUCUCUCACCCAGUUAGUGUGCAUCUGAAGUGCAGGGAAGCAAUCCAUCUUCCAAACGCCAUUAUACAACUUCCAAACUUUAACAGUGUUAUCACAUCCACCAGAUGCCAGCUUUUGAACAGGUUCAAGCACACCUGCACCAACUAAAGCACCAGGAGCCAUUGAAGGCGCCCAUGAAACUGAUGUUACCCCAACUGGAUGAGCUUGGUCGAUUCUUGUAGUGUCCCAACCACCAUCUGACCUGGCGGUGUGCACUGAAAUAUUACCAUCAGAAGAACCACAAGCCAAGCAAAGCCCAAGUUCAUGAGGAGCCCAGGAGAUGGAAUUAACCGAUGAUUUGUGCUCGCUAAAAACAUGAGCUUGUGCCCACUCAUUCUGAUUGCCUUCCUUCCAGAUUAUUACCUUACCAUCAUAGGAACAGGACGCAAGGAUUGAGCCAAAUUUGGGGUGAGCCCAGCCAGCCUGCCAAACAGGGCCCGUAUGGCCACUCAACGUAGCAAGGUGUUGCGAAGCAGCAUUGUUGCUCACACCAGUUAUUUUUAUGGUGGUAUCAGAAGAUGCUGUAGCCACACGUUUUCCAUAAUAGUCCAUAGUAACAUCGUGAACUGUGUCAUUGUGACCAGUUUCAAUCUUCUGGGCUGGCAUUUUCUGUUGCCGUUACUGAUAUCUCACAGCUACUGUAACAGAAAAAUUCUGGAUGCAAACACGAUAGAGAGGAGAAUGGCUUCUUCGCGUCGAAG